rnacentral:rRNA from 1 species
GCGGUGACGCCGAGCGGAACCCGAAAGCCCCUCUCAGUUCGGAUCGGAGUCUGCAACCCGACUCCGUGAAGCUGGAUUCGCUAGUAAUCGCGCAUCAGCCAUGGCGCGGUGAAUACGUUCCCGGGCCUUGUACACACCGCCCGUCAAGCCAUGGGAGCCGGGAGCGCUUGAAGUGCGUCCGCCGCGAGGCCGCGCCCUAGAGCGAGACCGGUCGACGUGGGGCUAAGUCGUAACAAGGUACC